UACGAAGGGGGCUAGCGUUGCUCGGAAUCACUGGGCGUAAAGCGCACGUAGGCGGCCUCUUAAGUCGGUGGUGAAAUCCUGGAGCUCAACUCCAGAACUGCCUUCGAUACUGGGAGUCUCGAGUCCGGGAGAGGUGAGUGGAACUGCAAGUGUAGAGGUGAAGUUCGUAGAUAUUCGCAAGAACACCAGUGGCGAAGGCGGCUCACUGGCCCGGUACUGACGCUGAGGUGCGAAAGCGUGGGGAGCAAACAGG
rnacentral:rRNA from 1 species